GUAACGCGUGGGUAACCUGCCUCAUACAGGGGGAGUAACAGUUAGAAAUGACUGCUAAUACCGCAUAAGCGCACAGUGCUGCAUGGCACAGUGUGAAAAACUCCGGUGGUAUGAGAUGGACCCGCGUCUGAUUAGCUAGUUGGUGGGGUAACGGCCUACCAAGGCGACGAUCAGUAGCCGGCCUGAGAGGGUGAACGGCCACAUUGGGACUGAGGCACGGCCCAAACUCCUACGGGAGGCAGCAUG
rnacentral:rRNA from 1 species